UAUAUUUUUUGGGUUCAGUUGCUUUCAUGUGGCCUAAUGUGAGUCUAUUUGGGAUCAUUGGAAUGAUCAGCAGCAUUUCUUGAUGUGACUUUAUGGCAGUUGCCCAGGGCAUCAUCGCAAGGAGGAUGGCAUUCAUUUAUUUUUGUUUUAUUUGGUAUUUUUUCAGUCAAUUUUGGAAAUAGUGAUUAAUUUUGAUUAAUUCACAGCCUAUGUUUAAUUACAUUUAAAAAUUAGUUGUUUGACACCCCCAAUUAUAAUAAAUGUCUACAGAUGAGAUCAAACAAAACAGAUGAGAAUUGCCCUUAAAGAGCAAGUCACCACCAAAUAAACUUUUUUUUGCUGAUAAACUAAAUAAACGAGUGUCUAAUCGUGCUGCAGACACGUGUCGUCAAUAAUUUGGCACUUCAGUGCAUCUUAGUUAAAAUUUUAAUAUUCAGCCUAAAACUGGCAGUGUUGUGCCAUUGUCAGGUAAAAACUCUGCUCUGUAUUUUAAUUUAAAUCUGCCACCGCUAUUGGCUAAGAAGUAUGUUAUGAUGUAAACUGGUACAUUAUGAUGUCACAAUGCUGCCGUGAGCCUGAGUGUGUGUGUAUUUGUUAGUGGCUCCGCCCUCUCGGUCUGCCAGGCAACAGCAUGUGUUGCAUUUUUCAAACAUGAAGUGGGAGUGGAGUUAGACUCUGGUAGGGGUUGACUUGCUCUUUAAGCUGUUUAACUUGGACCAAGCAUUUUAGGUCACAGAUAGGUGUAGCUUAGGGUCUCUGUCUAUACAGCUUAUAAGACAAUUUAGGUGAUGGCAUGUUGUUUUUCUGCUAUUGAACUGUUUUCUAAUAAUGUUGUGUUUAAUAAAGUGAAGGAAGGAGAGAAAUAAUGGUUCCCUAGCAGUUUUUAACAAUGUCCCCAUGUAAUCCGAUUAAUCGAUUAAUCGUGUCGAGACCCCAUCCGAUUAAUCGAUUAUCCAAAUAAUAGUUUGUUGCAGCCCUAUUUCAAACACAUCAAUCUGAGGAAACAGCCUCAACAAAAUUUUAAAAAGUUUCCCUUUUUCUUCAGCGGGUCAUCUCCUUCGGGCUGGCACUGGCCACAUGGGCGCCCUACGCGCAGUGUGUGAAGUGCGUGGGUGGAGGGCCGGCGCUGAUCUCUUUUGACAAAAACUCUGUAAUUAAAAACUCUUCAGCAAAAGGAAAUCAGCAACCUUAACCUGCUGAGCCCAACAUUAGAAGCUUUUUAGUUGCAAAUCUGUUUGUGUUACCAUGGAAACAAUAAAUUGGGUUGGUAUUUCUUAAUGAGCUCUGUUUUCUGAAGUUUUUCCUUUAUCUGUUGUCUGCACAUCUGAUUUUGACAGAAAAUGUUUCAAUCGGGUUGUUGUUUUCCAGACGAAUGCGUUCACAGCAAUCCACAGGGAUUAUCAAUUGUUAUUAUUAUGAGACAUAAGAAGAGCUAAACGCUCUUUGUAGGCAAAAUGUCAGAGAGCAUUUUGUGCAACUGCCCCAACAUAAGUGACCGGUAGGUGUAAUCAGUUGUCUACCAGCAUCAGCUCUUAUGCUACAGUGUUUCAAGUCUUUACACUUUUGUACUCAAAUUACCAUUAUAUUUAAAUAAUUGAUGUUAUUCACUUCACCUGCCUGCAAAUUGAUCCCUGUGGGUGAUUCUGUCUCUAGUUCAAAAAUAGGUUUUUCCUGUCCUAUGUGGCUGCCGUCCUGCAUGUUUUAGAUGCAUCCACACACCUGAAUUAAAUCAGGGUUCUGUUGAAUUUGAGGACUUUCUAAAAGGCAUUGAUUAAACAUUCUAAUCAGGUGCGCUAAAGCAAGGAAAGUUCCUAAAUGUGCAGAGUAGUCACUCUUAAAUAUCUAAUUUGCUACACAUUACACAAAAUUGUAAAAUUCAACAAUUUUAAUCAUAUAUUGACCUAAAUAUCUCAAGUGUUUGCUUCAUAAAUUUUGUGAAUCUACAUUAAUGCCUUCAAAGUAAAUGCAAGUUCAAAGAUUUCAGAAUUGGUGCACAAAAAGUGGUGGGGCUUGUUUGUUUAGGUAGCUAAGUGGCCUAGUGUCUUCCCUGGAACUGUGAAACCGGGGAUCAAAUCCCGGUCGGGUCAUGCCAAAGACUUUUAAAAUGGGACCCAAUGUCUCCAUGCUUGUUGCUCAGCUUUAAAAUGGCUGGAUUGGUGGGUUAAACCACCAAAUAGUUCUCAGCGCGGCUGUGUCUGCAGCUCCCUGCUCCCCGCGGGGAUGGGUAAAAUGUGGAGGACAGUAUGAAGGUAGUCACAAUUCUAGGGGUAAAACUUGAUGCUGCUUUCACAAAUUUCACUUGUUAUACGUUCCUGUUUUUUCCACCUUUGGAGGAUCACUAAGAUCAAGCCAACGCUGUCGAGGGCCCAUUUAGAAACAGUUUUACAUGCAUUUGUAUUGUCUCCCCUUGACUGUAAUGCUGUGUAUGCUGGUGUGAGCUCAGGUGCAUUUGCCCGCCUUCAACUUGUUCAGAACUCAGUGGCCAGAUUCUUGUCCGGUACUAGGCGGAGUGAGCAUAUCAACUUCACUGGCUCCCAGCUGAGUAUCGGGUUAUGUUUAAAACCCUGCUGUCUGUGAAAAAGGCCCUACAGGGCACUGCCCCAACUAUCUUUCCUCACUGCUCCAUAGAUACACCCCCACAAGGGCCUUGCAUUCCCUAGACAGGGAACUUUUGGAAGUGCCACGCUCUAGAUACAAAUCUAGGCGGGGCCGUGCCUUUCCUGUGGCGGCCCACAACAUCCCUCCAGUCUUUCAUGUCUCGUUUAAAAACACAUUUUUACCAAUUGGCCUUUUACAGUUGAGUCACAAGUUUUUAUUGUGAUUUUAUUAUUUUAUUGUCUUGCAAGUUCACUUUUAUUAUUACUUAUUUAAUCAUUUUAUUGUUGGAAUGUUUUUUUUUAAAUAUACUCUUGUCUCAUUAUUUUAUUUUGUAAUAGUGUGCAGCACCUUCUGCUACUACAAGGCUAGUGCAAGGUGCUAUGGAAAUCAAAACAUCAUAUAUGACAUCAAACAGCGAUGUCAAACGGGACUGCCUUGCUUUUGAUUCAAUGUAGAGCUGAAACAACUAAUCGAUUUAAUCGAUUAUAAUCGAUUAUUAAAAUAGUUAACAACUUUUUUAGUCAUCGAUUAGUUGUUUAAUAAUCAUAUUUUACUGCAUAAAGUCUAUUUUUUACCACAAUCUGACAUCGGUUACAAUCUGUUAAAUUUGCCGCCAGUGUGUGGCAGUAAUGAGCCACUGAUCUACCAGUGGGGCCGUAGAAGAAGAAAUUAGCCAAUAAGUGCCCUCGGUUUUCAUGACGUAUCACGUUACUGACGCGCAUCUUGCUGUGAGAGAUGGCGGAUCAACAACAAAUACGGAAGAAAAAUAGAAGCGACAAAACAAGAGAAACCCCGGACAAAAACCUCACGAGUAUGGGAGCACUUCACUAGAUGCCUUGAAAAGACCGGUGACCUACAAAAUAUGCAAAAACCAUGGCACGACGGAAGCACGACGUCCCUAAGUGAACAUUUGAGAUGAAAACAUGUGGGGGCUGAUGCAGCAGAGGAAAGUCCGAAAAAAACAAGCAACGAUGGACAACUACAUGGGGAACAAGACACUCACCCCCAGCAAUGCAUACCACUUACAAACUCUAUUCCAGAUUCUACAUUAUUUUUUAUGGAAUUUACCUCUUAUAUUUUGAUGCCAAAAAAUUAUUCUGGACUGAUAUUUUGCACUGUUUAGCUCAUUUUACACUGCUGACUGUGGUCAUGUGCAAUAAAAUAGAUUGCAGUCAACUGCACAA